rnacentral:tRNA from 1 species
GUUAUGGCUCAGAGGUAGAGUGCUCACCUAGCAUGCGUGAGGCACUAGGUUCGAUCCUCAGCACCACA